GAAUAAUCAUCUGUUUCCGAACACCCCUAUACUGCCGGACUUCGAGAGGUGAUCUCAGAAGGUACUUCAGACUCUCCACCUGCUAGCAGAAUUUCCAGUUUGAUUUUAUGUGAAAUCAAGGCGUGAUGGAUAGUUCGGGCUGAUCCCAGCAGAGGAGGAAGGAGCCGUUGCAAAGGUAUAU